rnacentral:lncRNA from 1 species
GCGUUGUACUGUGUUAGUAACACAUCCAAACUAAAAAAAGAGACAACCCUAGAACUGUUUCUGGUUUACUCUCAGCUCAAAGAGAGUCUAAAGGCUCAGGACUCAAUUCUCCUUUGAACAGAUUUUUAAGUUUGGCUGAAGAUGGUGAGAAAGUUGCUUCAUACCAUUUGUCCUGUCCCCUGAACCUGGUCUGACUGAAGCCGUUGCUGUAAAAAGCCUGCGGRCUUCUUCCUGUCACAAGAAAGGCAGUAGUUUCAGUCCUAUAGUUCCUGAAGAUGGAAGUUUCUGGGAGGAACCUGAACUUGCCUUCGCUUUGUUUUUCUAGCCAAAACUGAACUGGACCAGUUUUGGACCCAGGACCUUCAUAUAAGCAAAUGUGGUCAGGUCCACUCCUGCUUACAACAGUGCCUCAUUUCUCUUGACUGUUCACAUGGCUUCUCAAGAGACCUGGACAAUUCCUGGGAGGCCAGCCUGCUCCCCGUGACACCCAGGAAAGCAUUGCCACCUCAGCAUGCGAGGGAAAGCAACUCAUCCAAGGUUGUCAGCUCCAGCCAUAGGGGUUGGUCCCUGAUCCAAGAGGCCUGUGACUUUAUUGUUUGAAUGGGAGAGCUGAAGCUGGUGAUUGGCACUGCUGUUUAGAGGCUGGGAUGUAUGGCUGGGGAAGUGCUGAAUGAGAGGUAAGGGCACAUUCUGCUCUCCUUGGCAGAAAGAAAAAUACCUCAGUGGGAGUCAUUUACAUGAGUAAGGGUUUGAAUCUGAGGCCCCAGGCCGAUCUGAU